rnacentral:rRNA from 1 species
AUUGAACGCUGGCGGCAGGCCUAACACAUGCCAGUCGAGCGGAUGAAGGGAGCUUGCUCCUGGAUUCAGCGGCGGACGGGUGAGUAAUGCCUAGGAAUCUGCCUGGUAGUGGGGGAUAACGUCCGGAAACGGGCGCUAAUACCGCAUACGUCCUGAGGGAGAAAGUGGGGGAUCUUCGGACCUCACGCUAUCAGAUGAGCCUAGGUCGGAUUAGCUAGUUGGUGGGGUAAAGGCCUACCAAGGCGACGAUCCGUAACUGGUCUGAGAGGAUGAUCAGUCACACUGGAACUGAGACACGGUCCAGACUCCUACGGGAGGCAGCAGUGGGGAAUAUUGGACAAUGGGCGAAAGCCUGAUCCAGCCAUGCCGCGUGCGUGAAGAAGGUCUUCGGAUUGUAAAGCACUUUAAGUUGGGAGGAAGGGCAGUAAGUUAAUACCUUGCUGUUUUGACGUUACCAACAGAAUAAGCACCGGCUAACUCCGUG